rnacentral:rRNA from 1 species
UACAGAGGGUGCAAGCGUUAAUCGGAAUUACUGGGCGUAAAGCGUGCGUAGACGGUUAUGUAAGUCGGGUGUGAAAGCCCCGGGCUCAACCUGGGAAUGCCAUUCGAGACUGCAUAGCUAGGGUGCGGAAGAGGGAAGCGGAAUUUCCGGUGUAGCGGUGAAAUGCGUAGAUAUCGGAAGGAACACCAGUGGCGAAGGCGGUUCUCUGGGCCUUACCUGACGCUGAGGAGCGAAAGCGUGGGGAGCGAACAGG